rnacentral:tRNA from 1 species
GAUAGGUUAGCUCAGUGGUAGAGCACCCGGCUCUUCACCCGGGAUGACGCAGGUUCGAGCCCUGUACCUAUCC